CAUGGAGAUAACGCAGCUUACUAGAAUGGAAAUUCGGAAGGGCGUGGCUUGCUCAGAAGUGCCUGGCCAAGAAGAGAGUGCGUGGUAUCACCCUACAUUCUGGAUGGAACACGUCUCUCCAAGACGGAUGGAGGCAGAAAAACGCCUGGAAGUUGAAACCGUCUACAUUUUUCUGGACGUUGCCAUUUAGUACCAUUGCUGAGAAGGACGCUGGGGCCAGAGACAGAGGUCUCCCUGAAGGAGGUGCCCUCCCCUCCCAUUUGACACCUGCUGGGGGCGUUCGCAGAAGCAUCAGGAGCCUGAUGUCCACCGAGCGGGGGACAAUCUUCAACUAGGAAGGACCCCGCCGAGGGCAGGGUGCGUGUUGGACAUCCUCAUAGAUGAGCUAUGACUAUUCCAUUUUGAUAAGUGGAAGGAGCGAGUCUCUUGUAAAAGAAAAUAACUAAAAAUCACAGGGAUCAUUUUUCUCUCAGUAGACACAUUCAUAAGUGCUCUUGUGAAAUAGCAGAGCAAGGGGAGGAUGCCAAGUAGGGCCAUAGGGGAUGACACAGGGGCCUGUGGCCGCAGUGCAUUCCCCCCUGCUUUUCCCAGGCUCCCUGGAUUACAACUGGAAAGCCAUUUCGAGGAUUCAAUUGGAAUUCCCCCAGGAAGUCGGAUGUUGAAGGUGUAAAAAUAUAUAUAGUUGUAAGCUUUACAGGCAAUGACAGUGUAAUUCUUAUUUUAAUAGUAUUUGCUCCUACUUACUGGGUAUCUCAAAACAUGAAACACAUAUGAACUCAUUAAUCCUUUCAGGAUUUCCAUUUGUUUAAAAUGAGUCACCAAAAAAAAAAGUUAACACAAUGCAACGUUAUGCUGAGUCUUUCAGAUUAUUAGACUCUCCUCCCACAAGAAAGAAAAGGAAAAAAAAAAAAGCCCAUUUCAUUCUGCCACGAAGAGAUUUUCAGGAUUAUAUGAGACUUGCAGACACCGUGGGUGAGGAGCUGAUUUGAAGACAGCCCCCAAAUUUCGG
rnacentral:lncRNA from 12 species